ensembl:lncRNA TRDN-AS1 TRDN antisense RNA 1
AUCAACAAAGCUGUUCAAUCUUUGCACCCAGAGGUUGCAGUAAGUCUGGAUGCCACAUCAAACUGUUUGUGGUACUUCUAAACUUCGUGGAAGAGCCCUGUUUCAUAAAUCUGAGACAGCCUUGGUCUGAGGGAGCAAAGACAGAGAAUUCACGUGCUGCCCAGGCAUAGCCACAUAGCAGGUGGACAUCCCUGGACACUUUUCUGACCCUCAUUGGAUUUUCCUGGAAGUACGGAGAGUUACAUCCAGAGAACUCUGAACAUUUUGGAAGGACCCCAAUCCUGCAAACAAUGAAUGGCAAUAAAUCCUGGGACUGGAAAGGUUUAAUGAAGCCAGCUGUCAUGUUGAUGAGACUCAUGUGUCAAGGAACUGAAGAUGGUCCAUAGCCAACAGCCAGCCAGGAACUGAUUGGCUAGUAGUCCUUGAGGAACUGAAUCUCACCAACAACCAUAUAGUGAACUUGCAAAUGGUGCUUCCUCAGUUGAAACUAAAGAUGAGACUGAAGUCCUAGUUAACACUUUGUUUGCCACCUUGUAAGAUUGUGAAACAGAGGCCUGAGCUAAGCCAUGCCCAGAUUCUUGAUCCACAGAAACUGUGAGAUAAUAAAUGUGCAUUGAUUUAAGCCUCAGAUUUUGUGGUAAUGCUUUACAAAGCAAUAAGUAACUAAUGCAGUAUUCAACAAAUUUUUUGAAAAAAAAAAGAUGCUUGAAGACCUGUAUUUAAUUAUUUUUGUGAAGAAUACUCAAUGUAUACUGACUGCACCUGGGUUUUUAGUCUUAACCAAAUCAUAUACCAGUUUUAUGACCUGGCAAAAAUGUUUUUCUCUCUCUCUAGAGGUCACUUUCUUCAUCUGUUAAACGAGGUAAUUAAUUUAGAUGAUCUUUAAAAUGUCCACUAGAUUUCAUACAUCUAUCACAUAUGAUUUCAUGUAUAUGUAAUGAAAACAAAUUUUAUAUAUAUACAAAAUUUAUUUUCACUUGCAUUUAUGAAACAGGAGAAACAAAAUAAAAUUACAUUUAUUUAUUUUAAUUUAAUCUUGAAAGUAAAUUCAUGUUAUCUUCUAAAAAUGUUUCAGUUUACAAUUCAUCCAUAUUAACUUUAAUAAAAUGAUAUUUGGUUAUCUAACGGAAGAUUUAUUGAAAAUAUAUCUGCUUCAAAUAUCUCAUUAUUUUACAUUUAGUAGCUAAACUAAAUCUUAAAAAUGCUUCUGAGUUUUACCUAAAUGGGUAGUUUCUUAAAAAUACUGAAUUGAGGCUUCUAGCUAAUUGCCUAAAAUGUAUAUUUUAAAAGAUAAGGAAGAAAUUUAAAUGUAGGGAAUAAGAUUAAAUUACCAAAUAAAAUCCAUUUUUUCUAGUAAUUGGCAGAUAAAUUUAAUACAGAAAAACUUUGUUAUUCAAUAUGCCAAAAUAUCUAAUAUUAAAGUGAUAUACUAAUAAAUAUAUUUGGCAUAUUAUUAUGGUACUUUCAGUUCUCAAACUUUUAAAGUAAAAAUAUUGAUCAAGAUUUAUGCAUGACCACUUUUUUUUUUUUUUUUUUAUUUAGACAGUCUCACUCUGUUGCCCAGGCCGGAGUGCAGUGGCGCAAUCUCAGCUCACUGCAACCUCUGCGUCCAGGUUUCAAGGUAUUCUCCUGUCUCAGCCUUCUGAGUAGCUGGGAUUACAAGUGUGUGCCACCACACCUGGCUAAUUUUUUAAUUUUUACUAGAGACAGGAUUUCACCAUGUUGUCCAGGCUGGUUUUGAAUUCCUGACCUCAAGUGAUUCACCGGCCUCGGCCUCCCAGAGUGCUGGUAUUACAGAGGUGAGCCACUGUGCCCAGCCAAUUAUUUCUUUUUGAUGCAAGAAAAUCAUUUAUGGUGCAGAAGUUGUCUAUUUGUCUAUUUUUGCUUUGGUUACCUAUGCUUUUGAGGUCUUACUCAAGAAAUCUUUGUCCAUACCAAUGUCCUAAAGUGUUUCCCCAAUGUUUUCUUCAAGUAGUUUCAUAGUUUCAGGUCUUACGUUUAAGUCUUUAAUUCAGUUUGAUUUGAUUUUUGUAUAUGGUGAGAGAUAGAGGUCUAGUUUCAUUCUUCUACAUAUACAGUUUUCCUAGUAAAAUUUAUUGAAGAGACUGUCCUUUCCUCAAUAUAUGUUAUUGGUGCUCAGUAGCAAAAUAGAAUGACUAUAGUUAACAAUAAUUUAUUGUAUAUUUUAAAAUAACUAGAGAGUGAAUUUGGAAUGUUCCCAAUGCAAAGAAAUAAUAAAUGUUUGAGGUGAUGGACAUCCCAAUUACCCUGAUUUGAUCAUUAUAUAUUAUAUGCUUGUAUCAAAACAUCACAUGUACCCCAUAAAUAUGUACAACAACUAUGUACCUAUAAAUAUUGAAAAUAAAUAAUUUUUUAAAAAGAAAA